AGUCAAUGUACGACCACCUGUGGCCGACCUACACGAAGAUCCCUGUUGACAAUAGAGAGCGAUGAUUUUCAGAAGUGGGUGUUGAAAUUCAUAUGAGAUACAAAACAUAAUCUCGUGAUUUGGAAGAUCUAUGACCACCGGGCAACUAAACGACUUCAGCAAAUGAUGAGCGACAUUCGUCAAGGGCGCGACCAUCUAACGACCUGGAUCUGUCCAUCUAUCAAGAAGGAACUAGAGACCCAUUUUAGAACUGAUGGGGGGUUCAAGCGUCGCCAUCUGACGAACGUCGCUAACAGAGCUUCGUCAAGGUCGUCAAAGUAUACAGGUAGGUCAGCGACUUUCAUAAAGACAAAGAGCAGGUUGGUAAGUACUUCACAUGUUUGUUAAUUAUUACUUGAAUUAGUUGUUUCUUGACUUAUUUACUUAGUUGAUUUCGAUAUGUGCAGUUUAAGUCGUUCGAUUAUGAGGCGACACUGGCGGAACCUUCAAGUAUACCCAUACUUUGAAGGCCAACAAGAAGAAAUUUGCUGAUGAGCGGUCUGUGACUCAUUAUGAGGUCUACACAUAUAGAUUGGAGGCCCCAACCCAGCAACAUCAAUCGCCUAGUGAAAACGACGACCCCGAUAUCUCAGUGGUAGAUCCUGAUAGGGUUUGGCGCGAGACCGCCUCUGAGCCCCACAAGAAUUGCGUCUUCGAGUUGGGGUCGUUAUUUGCUAAUGGUCUCCGCACCUCUGCAUUGGCGGCUUCAUCUGCGUCUGCCUCUGCCACCAGCCCUGUCGAUCCCGCGGAAGUUGUCGACUUGAGGGAGGAGGUGUAGAAGAUCACACAGGAGGUUCACCAACAAGCUCAACAGUCUAAGCAGAGGUACAACGAGCUUCUUGCACG